UACAGGACCUGCAUCCUAAUGACUUGCUAGAGUUGGACCCUUCCACACUUUGGUUUGAUGAUAUCCCGGUGAAGAAUGUGCUCUCCGACUCGCUAACCGGCUACUAUGUUGAGCCUUGGAGGAAUUAUGGAGAG